UUCAUCCUCAAUCAGAGAGCAAUUGCAGUGUGAAGGUAAAUUUAUAUCUCUUCUGUUGUACGGGAGGUAAUUCUUUCAAUUAUAGUUUGUAAAUCUCUUCGAUGUUUAGAUGCUGGGAAAGCUCAAGGUGGAAGCUGUUGUAAUUUAUGUUUCAAUGUUGUUUUGGAUUUUAAAUGUAAUUUUUCAGCAAAAUUUAAUUAUCUUUAUUAGCUGCCAACCAGUUAAAGUUUAGUUUUUUAUUUGUAUUGUUUGUUAGCAAUUUUUCGGCCAUCAAGUUGUAAGAUUUGGGUAAGUUUUACCUGCUAAUUUUAUAAAUCUGAUUCUUUUUACAUUAUCUUUUGAUUUUUAUUCUAUGGAUCAGAUUAAAUAAGCUCAUAAAAUAUGAAUCAUUGUGUAGAAUUGCCAAGUUGUAGCUAUAUAUAUUAUGUAUAUAUAGGAGUUUAUGAAUGUUGGUUAUAACUAUUCCCAAAAUUUCUAACUUUUGGUCUCAAUUUUGUUGGCACAAAAUCUAUAGCAUCUACAAUUUUUUUUUAAUCUUCAAAAUUUUGAAUUUGUUAUUAAAAAAAACUGUAUUUGUUAGUUUUGUUAUUUAAUUGACUGCCUUUGCUUCAGUUUAGAUGAUGAUGUUACUCAUUUCCUUGUGAUGAUUGAAAUUGCCUCCCAAUGUUGAGUAAUCAAGGCUGGAUUCUUAAAAUGGCUCUUUUGCCAAGACCCAUUUUUGGGUGUUUGGUUUGAAAGACGAAUGAGCCCAAGAAUUGGCACAUAUUUGUGCCAUAGGCCUCUGGUGUGGGAGCAUUUCUUUCUAUCUGUUGGGACUGGUAGUGAUGACAGAUUGACCGGGUCAGAAUUUUUCGUCAAUUUAUCGACUCGAGUGUCAAGUGUUCAACAAGUGGUUUUAAAUAAUUGGGCUGAAAAUUAUUCAAGAGAGUACAAUUCAAGCAUUAUUGGGCUGAUCCAAUUGGUCCAUUCAAUUCAAUCCAGCACGAAUUAUCUAAUUGAUUUCAGAUUCAAUAAAUCAUAUGCGCGAAUUUUGGAAUUCAAUUAUAAUCUGCAACUUGCAAAGGGGAUGUUACACUCAUGUGGGGCUUUCUAAAUCAAGCAUCAUGUUACUUCAAUUAAGCCCCAUGCCCAGACAUGUAAAGAAUGAAGACAUGCAAAGAAUUAUUAAUUUAUUAAUUUUUUAUUAUCACGUGGGCCGCACCUUUUCAAGUAUCAGACUUGGUUGUUGUUUUAAAAAAAGUCAUCAGCCUUGGUUUUUUUUGUUUAAAAGUCAUCAGACUUUAUUUGUGAUGUAUACAUGACGUGGCAACUUGGCAAUUGUUAUUAUUUCCUUAUGAUCACACGUAGCAAGCCAACAAUCCUUAUUGAGAACUCAGUUUAAUCACACGGUAAAGGAAAUCCGGAGCGGUGAAGGAUUUUAUUUUAUUUGGAUUCUUAAUUUUAAAUUCUAUUGUACUUGGGAUUUCUUUUUUAAAUUGAUUUCUAUUUCCUUAUAGCAAUUAGGGUUAUAGUUUAUAAAUUCCUAUUAGGAUUUGGAUUGUUUUGAGUAGUAUAAAUAGAGGUUCAAGUUGAUGUAAACAUUAUACAUUAUUAUUAUUCAAUAUAUUUGUGAGGUUAUUCUCUACUUUUGGCUCUUUGAAGAAUUCUUAAGUAUUUUUCUUA
rnacentral:lncRNA from 1 species